CUUACUAAGCCAAGCAUUUGUUCAUACUUUGUCUUUUGUGAUAAUGAAAUAUAGGUAAGAUCUGCUGUACCACAGUCCACGCCAGUGAAGGAUACCACAUCAACAUCAGGCCAGCCGAGGACAAUUCAACAAUCAUCACGAGUGACCUAGAGGUAUACCACAGUGCGAUGCUGAAGUACACCCAAAAGAGGCUCCACUUUGUCUAUAACUCCAUGAAGGCAAGGACACUGAUGUCUGUUAUGGACCACAAUGAAAAUGUCGGGCGCCAGCAACAGAGGAACGCUGAUGGCACUUUGAAAUACAGAUUGGAGUUUCCAAAGCAAACAAAAAGAUGGGUUGGCCGGAGCUGUUACGAGCCAACAACGCAGACAUUCAGAGAGAAUUUGGUGGAGCGUGUCCUGGAAAGACGGCAGGAUUCAUCAUUCAAGUUUGCUGAGCCAGACUUCUAUUUCAAGCCUCCAACUACUAUUCCACCGAACAUUGCAAACAUCGAAAGGCCUGACAAAGAAAAAGUUAUUUUACAACAUGUCAGUCGAUUUAAAAAAUACGUAGGCAGACAUUUUCCUUUUUUUUUUUUUUUUUUAAAAUGUUAGAAUGUAGAUAUUUUUGAAUGUACAACAAUAAAAAUAAAAAAAACACACACACACAUAUUGUAUAAUUUGUGAAAUGUGAAGGUUUAAAAGAUAAAAAGUUUCUGGGUAUGGGGGAAAU